AAUGCUUUUGUAAAUGCUUUAAUAAGUUCAAACCCUCCUGGAAGCACCUAAUUUGAGAGUGCAAACUGUUUCCUGCUGAGGCCAUGACUAAUACAAUGAGCUGGAUUAGAGCAGGACUGCAGGUCCGGAAAGCUGCGUCAACGCGCCUCCACACCGCCCUCAAGCAGAGACAGGAGCAGCUCUCCCCCCUAAGCGGCAGAAACCACCACCUGCGCGUGCUCAAUCCAAAAAAUCCUUCUGAGCUGUAGUUUGUCCGCUUGUAAAAAGGAUGAGAAUUUGGUGCCUCAUCUGGGCCAUGAGAAUUUGUGAACAAAGUUCUGCUGGCACUGAAAAGCAUUUGGAUGUGUGGGGGAAUAUUUGAAACGCCUGAUGUGGCAUUCCAGCCCUCUGCGCUAGAUGUGUCUGUAGGUUCCUUUACAGUUCAUGAGAUCCCUUUUCUUGCGAAGAUUACCCCUUAUUGAACUUCUGUCUUCUGAGCAUAAAAUUCUUAAAAUAAAAGUUUCUGAC
rnacentral:lncRNA from 1 species